rnacentral:rRNA from 1 species
UACGGAGGGGGCUAGCGUUGUUCGGAAUUACUGGGCGUAAAGGGCGCGUAGGCGGCGCGAUAAGUUGGGCGUGAAAGGCCCGGGCUCAACCCGGGGACUGCGCUUGAUACUGUCGCGCUGUGAGUCCGGGAGAGGAUGGCGGAAUUCCCCAGUGUAGAGGUGAAAUUCGUAGAUAUUGGGAAGAACACCGGUGGCGAAGGCGGAUCUCUGGGCCUUACCUGACGCUCAGGUGCGAAAGCUAGGGGAGCGAACAGGA